rnacentral:rRNA from 1 species
ACGCACGCUGGCGGCGUGCUUAACCCCUGCCAGUCGCACGGAAAGGCCCUGCUUUUGUGGGGUGCUCGAGUGGCGAACGGGUGAGUAACACGUGAGUAACCUGCCCUUGACUUUGGGAUAACUUCAGGAAACUGGGGCUAAUACCGGAUAGGAGCUCCUGCUGCAUGGUGGGGGUUGGAAAGUUUCGGCGGUUGGGGAUGGACUCGCGGCUUAUCAGCUUGUUGGUGGGGUAGUGGCUUACCAAGGCUUUGACGGGUAGCCGGUCUGAGAGGGUGACCGGUCAGAUGGGUCCCAAGGACUGCAUCAGAACAGUAAGGGGGGCAGCAGUGGAGAAUAGUGGCAAGGGGCAUGACGCCUGAUGUAGCAGCCUCGCGUGCGGGAUGACGGCCUUCGGGUGGUAUACCGCUUUCGCUUGUUCCGCCGCUAGAGCGACGGUCCCGGGUCAAUAAGCACCGGCUCACGACGUG